UACGAAGGGGGCUAGCGUUGCUCGGAAUUACUGGGCGUAAAGGGCGCGUAGGCGGCACUGUUAGUCAGGCGUGAAAGUCCUGGGCUUAACCUGGGAACUGCGCUUGAUACGGCAGAGCUAGAGGAUGGAAGAGGCUCGCGGAAUUCCCAGUGUAGAGGUGAAAUUCGUAGAUAUUGGGAAGAACACCGGUGGCGAAGGCGGCGAGCUGGUCCAUUACUGACGCUGAGGCGCGACAGCGUGGGGAGCAAACAGG
rnacentral:rRNA from 1 species